CCUCGAAAUCCUAUCCCCUCUAUGUUCCCUAUCUUCUCCAUUGGUGCGCCGCCAUCCCUUUCGACCUCACCUCCGGUGGCCGCAAUUCAUCGUCUCCGGUAAACCGGAGAUUGUAUUUUGGUCACUUCUAUCCCGCUGAUUUCGGUGCGGUAGAGGAGUGAGUUGCUGUGAUCACAAUGGUGUCCUUGAGCAAAGAUGCUGUUGUCUUACCACGUUUUAGUUGUUUUAUCCGCUGCAUAGCUAGACUUGUGUGAGAGCACAACAGAAACAUCAAAUUUAAAUUUAUAUCUCUUCUAAUGCUAUUUGUGAGCCCAAGGCUUGUAAUGUGGAGCUUGAACCUUUAAUUUUUAGUUUUAGAUUUGAUCAAUCUUUAUCAUGAACAUGUAAACCUUAAUGUCGAACCUAUACUUUCUAUGGAUCUUAUAGUAAUGUGCAAA